GGCUGGCUGCUAGAGUAAAAGUCAAUGAUCACCAACCAACGGCCACCAAUUAUGAAUGCUACGCUAUAAAUAUGCCCACCUCAAUCUCAAAAAAACUAAAUCAGAACAAGCUAGCUGGAAACAAUACUAACAGGUGAAAAGGAGAAGAAAUGGCAUCUAUCUGUCAAGGUAAGAGUUCAUGGCCGGAGCUUCUUGGAGUAGACGGGAAGUGCGCUGUCGAAACGAUCGAGAAGGAAAACUCUCUGGUUGAAGCUAUAAUUGUGCCAGAAGGAUCAUCAAUCAUCGAGGAUUUUCGGUGCGAUAGGGUUUGGGUUUGGGUUGAUAAAUAUGGCAUUGUUUAUCUAGUCCCUGUAAUUGGUUAAGAUCCAAAAACUGCGAUAUAUUCUUGUGAUAAUUGUUAAGGAAUAUUGCUGUGGAACUGUGGACUGUACCUAGAAUAAAAGAAUAAAAUGGAGGAAGGAGCCAGGAUCCAGGAUCCAGGAUCCAGGAUCCAUGUCUGUAUUGCAAUCUUGAUAAAAGUUGCAUUUCUCUAUGUAUUUCUCAAUUAUAAAUAUACAGCCCUUAAUAAUGGAGUUAUAUGUGAUUAA